UGGAGGAGGAAGGCAAAUGUGAAACAUUUCUAUUAAUGCCUUCCGACGAAUUGCCGCCGAACCAGAGGUGAGGGGGCGUUACCAUUG
rnacentral:sRNA from 1 species